rnacentral:lncRNA from 1 species
CAAAGGCUCCCAUGAAGGGAGGGUGCUGGGGGGUUCAGCCCCUGGUGGUGUUUUUGAGCAGAACCUGUUUCCUAGGCUGGAUGCAAUGGCCAUAAGGGCUGGAAGAUUCGCAGUGCCCCAGGGUGGCCCCACCCAAAGAUGUGGUGGGAUUUUCCAGGAUGGAAACAAGGAAUGAGGAAAGUUUAGCAUAUCCAAUAGCUUGUUAGCAUACUAUCAAGUAGGAAAGGUGUGCCAACAGCCACAGUGCAGCGAGCCCUGGGAGCAAGGUUAGAGCUUGUAGGAGCAUCCCCGAUGCCAACACGUGACCUUGGUAAGGUCUGCAGUUAAUGCAGAUUCAACAAAUAAAUAAACAUUUGUAAUAGACCUGGUACCUGACCUCAUCCCAACGGUGAUCACUAACAGAAUUAUUGACCUGAUCGUUUGCUGCUGGAGAAUUUUGGAAAUGCCAGGUUCAUUAUAGCCCUACUUAUUGCCAGGAAGCAUUACAGCUUUGUGCUUUCAGCAGCUGUAAAGGCAGAUGAAAGCCAUAGCGAUGGGUCAUCCCAGAGGCACGGCUAAGUGCAUCGUCCCAGGUGACCUUUGGGGCUGGGAAGAAGCUGCUGUUUCCCACUCGCAUCCGUGAGUCAACGUGCACAUCAAGUCACAGCGGCACGCCGAGCCUCAUUUAUCAUUCCAUUUAAGGUGUCAGCAGAGCCAUUAUUCAAACGAAUGGCCACACAUGCAAUCAAUCUUUAAUGAAACAAUAAUUGCGCCUUCCACUCUGCAAGACCUCUGCCUUUCUUAAAGGUAUCUUGCGUAUUAAUUAUUGAAAACGUUUGUGUUUUACCGGCGGUAAGUUAUGUUUCACCAAUUGCCAUCUUUCAAGAGAGUUUUAACUGGGAAAUUUGACUCUCGAUUUCACUAAGGGAAAAAUAAACAGCAGAUACUGUUCUUUCUCUCA